rnacentral:tRNA from 1 species
AGGCCCGUAGCUCAACGGUUAGAGCACCAAGCUUAUACCUUGGCGGUUCCUGGUUCGAAUCCAGGCGGGCCUA